GGCUAACUCAGUCAUGCUUUCUGCACCAAGGAUAGGGGAAAAAAUUUUAAUAUUCAGUGGCAUUUACAGAAACAUUUGAAAGAAGUCGAGUGGACCUCAGUUUUGCCAUCCGCUCCAAGCAAGCUCAAGCCAAGAGAGACUUGCUCGACUACGGGAAAGCCUCAUCCUCGUCAUCUCUAAGGCAUCUCCCAGAGUCGGCACUAUAUGGAGACAGAAGAGCCUUUGGUUGAAUAGAUUUGCAUUAAGAAUUAAGAAAAGAGGCACCUGGAUGGCUCAAUCGGUUAAGCAUCUAUCUUCAGCUCAGGUCAUGAUCUCAGUGUCUUGGGAUGGAACCUUGGUGUCAGGCUCCCUGAUCAGUGGGGAGUCUGCUUCUCCCUCUCCCUCUACCCCCAGCUUGUUCUCCCUUUCUCUCUCUCUCUCUCUCUCAACUUAAA
rnacentral:lncRNA from 1 species